rnacentral:tRNA from 1 species
GUAGCUCAUUUUGGUAGAGCCCAAGUCUGAUAAGCGUGAGGUCGGUGGUUCAAGUCCACUUA